UUAAGCGACUAAGCGUACACGGUGGAUGCCCUGGCAGUCAGAGGCGAUGAAGGACGUGCUAAUCUGCGAUAAGCGUCGGUAAGGUGAUAUGAACCGUUAUAACCGGCGAUUUCCGAAUGGGGAAACCCAGUGUGAUUCGUCACACUAUCAUUAACUGAAUCCAUAGGUUAAUGAGGCGAACCGGGGGAACUGAAACAUCUAAGUACCCCGAGGAAAAGAAAUCAACCGAGAUUCCCCCAGUAGCGGCGAGCGAACGGGGAGGAGCCCAGAGCCUGAAUCAGUGUGUGUGUUAGUGGAAGCGUCUGGAAAGGCGCGCGAUACAGGGUGACAGCCCCGUACACAAAAAUGCACAUGCUGUGAGCUCGAUGAGUAGGGCGGGACACGUGGUAUCCUGUCUGAAUAUGGGGGGACCAUCCUCCAAGGCUAAAUACUCCUGACUGACCGAUAGUGAACCAGUACCGUGAGGGAAAGGCGAAAAGAACCCCGGCGAGGGGAGUGAAAAAGAACCUGAAACCGUGUACGUACAAGCAGUGGGAGCCUCUUUAUGGGGUGACUGCGUACCUUUUGUAUAAUGGGUCAGCGACUUAUAUUCUGUAGCAAGGUUAACCGAAUAGGGGAGCCGAAGGGAAACCGAGUCUUAACUGGGCGUUAAGUUGCAGGGUAUAGACCCGAAACCCGGUGAUCUAGCCAUGGGCAGGUUGAAGGUUGGGUAACACUAACUGGAGGACCGAACCGACUAAUGUUGAAAAAUUAGCGGAUGACUUGUGGCUGGGGGUGAAAGGCCAAUCAAACCGGGAGAUAGCUGGUUCUCCCCGAAAGCUAUUUAGGUAGCGCCUCGUGAAUUCAUCUCCGGGGGUAGAGCACUGUUUCGGCAAGGGGGUCAUCCCGACUUACCAACCCGAUGCAAACUGCGAAUACCGGAGAAUGUUAUCACGGGAGACACACGGCGGGUGCUAACGUCCGUCGUGAAGAGGGAAACAACCCAGACCGCCAGCUAAGGUCCCAAAGUCAUGGUUAAGUGGGAAACGAUGUGGGAAGGCCCAGACAGCCAGGAUGUUGGCUUAGAAGCAGCCAUCAUUUAAAGAAAGCGUAAUAGCUCACUGGUCGAGUCGGCCUGCGCGGAAGAUGUAACGGGGCUAAACCAUGCACCGAAGCUGCGGCAGCGACACUAUGUGUUGUUGGGUAGGGGAGCGUUCUGUAAGCCUGCGAAGGUGUACUGUGAGGUAUGCUGGAGGUAUCAGAAGUGCGAAUGCUGACAUAAGUAACGAUAAAGCGGGUGAAAAGCCCGCUCGCCGGAAGACCAAGGGUUCCUGUCCAACGUUAAUCGGGGCAGGGUGAGUCGACCCCUAAGGCGAGGCCGAAAGGCGUAGUCGAUGGGAAACAGGUUAAUAUUCCUGUACUUGGUGUUACUGCGAAGGGGGGACGGAGAAGGCUAUGUUGGCCGGGCGACGGUUGUCCCGGUUUAAGCGUGUAGGCUGGUUUUCCAGGCAAAUCCGGAAAAUCAAGGCUGAGGCGUGAUGACGAGGCACUACGGUGCUGAAGCAACAAAUGCCCUGCUUCCAGGAAAAGCCUCUAAGCAUCAGGUAACAUCAAAUCGUACCCCAAACCGACACAGGUGGUCAGGUAGAGAAUACCAAGGCGCUUGAGAGAACUCGGGUGAAGGAACUAGGCAAAAUGGUGCCGUAACUUCGGGAGAAGGCACGCUGAUAUGUAGGUGAAGUCCCUCGCGGAUGGAGCUGAAAUCAGUCGAAGAUACCAGCUGGCUGCAACUGUUUAUUAAAAACACAGCACUGUGCAAACACGAAAGUGGACGUAUACGGUGUGACGCCUGCCCGGUGCCGGAAGGUUAAUUGAUGGGGUUAGCGGUAACGCGAAGCUCUUGAUCGAAGCCCCGGUAAACGGCGGCCGUAACUAUAACGGUCCUAAGGUAGCGAAAUUCCUUGUCGGGUAAGUUCCGACCUGCACGAAUGGCGUAAUGAUGGCCAGGCUGUCUCCACCCGAGACUCAGUGAAAUUGAACUCGCUGUGAAGAUGCAGUGUACCCGCGGCAAGACGGAAAGACCCCGUGAACCUUUACUAUAGCUUGACACUGAACAUUGAGCCUUGAUGUGUAGGAUAGGUGGGAGGCUUUGAAGUGUGGACGCCAGUCUGCAUGGAGCCGACCUUGAAAUACCACCCUUUAAUGUUUGAUGUUCUAACGUUGGCCCCUAAUCGGGGUUGCGGACAGUGUCUGGUGGGUAGUUUGACUGGGGCGGUCUCCUCCUAAAGAGUAACGGAGGAGCACGAAGGUUGGCUAAUCCUGGUCGGACAUCAGGAGGUUAGUGCAAUGGCAUAAGCCAGCUUGACUGCGAGCGUGACGGCGCGAGCAGGUGCGAAAGCAGGUCAUAGUGAUCCGGUGGUUCUGAAUGGAAGGGCCAUCGCUCAACGGAUAAAAGGUACUCCGGGGAUAACAGGCUGAUACCGCCCAAGAGUUCAUAUCGACGGCGGUGUUUGGCACCUCGAUGUCGGCUCAUCACAUCCUGGGGCUGAAGUAGGUCCCAAGGGUAUGGCUGUUCGCCAUUUAAAGUGGUACGCGAGCUGGGUUUAGAACGUCGUGAGACAGUUCGGUCCCUAUCUGCCGUGGGCGCUGGAGAACUGAGGGGGGCUGCUCCUAGUACGAGAGGACCGGAGUGGACGCAUCACUGGUGUUCGGGUUGUCAUGCCAAUGGCACUGCCCGGUAGCUAAAUGCGGAAGAGAUAAGUGCUGAAAGCAUCUAAGCACGAAACUUGCCCCGAGAUGAGUUCUCCCUGACUCCCUGAGAGUCCUGAAGGAACGUUGAAGACGACGACGUUGAUAGGCCGGGUGUGUAAGCGCAGCGAUGCGUUGAGCUAACCGGUACUAAUGAACCGUGAGGCUUAACCU
rnacentral:rRNA from 1 species